rnacentral:rRNA from 1 species
UACGGGGGGGGGCAAGCGUUGUUCGGAAUUACUGGGCGUAAAGGGCACGUAGGCGGUUUGUUAAGUUGGAUGUGAAAACUGUGGGCUCAACCCACAGCCUGCAUCCAAUACUGACAGGCUAGAGUUCUGGAGGGGAUAGCGGAAUUCCGUGGUGUAGCGGUGAAAUGCGUAGAUAUCAGGAGGAACACCGGUGGCGAAGGCGGCUAUCUGGACAGAGUCUGACGCUGAUGCGCGAAAGCUAGGGGAGCAAACAGG